UGACAAUGACACAGGUACAACAACAGGUGCCUUACAUCACUACUGCUUUGAUGGAUGCGAAGCUUGGCACGAAAGGGCGCAAGGAUCUUUCUGAUUGGCUAUCAAGGCAACUUAGUGGAUUAAAACUUAGAAUAUGAAUUAUGUAUUGUGUUGAAUAGUUAAUGAAUUAAA